UACGUAGGGGGCAAGCGGUUGUCCGGAUUACUGGGCGUAAAGAGCGUGUAGGCGGCCAAACAGGUCCGUUGUGGAAAACUGGAGCUCAACUUCCAGACGUCGACGGAAACCGUGUGGCUAGAGUCCGGAAGAGGAGAGUGGAAUCCUGGUGUAGCGGUGAAAUGCGCAGAUAUCAGGAAGAACACCAAUGGCGAAGGCAGCUCUCUGGGACGGUACUGAC
rnacentral:rRNA from 1 species